rnacentral:rRNA from 1 species
AUUGAACGCUGGCGGAAUGCUUUACACAUGCAAGUCGAACGGUAGAGGGGGCAACCCCUCGAGAGUGGCGAACGGGGGAGUAAUAUAUCGGAACGUGCCCAGUCGUGGGGGAUAACGUAGCGAAAGUUACGCUAAUACCGCAUACGAUCUAAGGAUGAAAGCGGGGGAUCGCAAGACCUCGCGCGAUUGGAGCGGCAGAUAUCAGAUUAGGUAGUUGGUGGGGUAAAGGCUCACCAAGCCAACGAUCUGUAGCUGGACUGAGAGGACGACCAGCCACACUGGAACUAAGACACGGUCCAGACUCCUACGGGAGGCAGCAGUGGGGAAUUUUGGACAAUGGACGCAAGUCUGAUCCAGCCAUUCCGCGUGCAGGAUGAAGGCCCUCGGGUUGUAAACUGCUUUUGUACGGAACGAAAAGGUCUCUCUUAAUACGGGGGGCUCAUGACGGUACCGUAAGAAUAAGCACCGGCUAACUACGUGCCAGCAGCCGCCGUAA